UAGUGGCCAUUUCUGAUUUAUUUGAUGA
rnacentral:piRNA from 1 species